rnacentral:lncRNA from 1 species
AGAGAUUGACGGACACACGGAGAGACCAAUUAAACAGAAGCAACGAUACAUAUAUCUUUGUUUUUGUGGGGGAAGGUGGGAGUGAAUAUACACUUGCGGGGCAAGAACCGCAGUGUUGUUCGCGCUGCGAGGGCUGGUGUCGCUGUUUCCAAAAAGGAAAGCGGGAAGGUGAAGCAACAAGGAGAAUCGAAGAGAGUCAGGAUCUCGUCGCGACGUCUCAACGGUUGUCUGCCCAUACUUCUCGUGCCGAGAAGGGGACGAAAACCUCUCCCGCCUCCACCGUCGUUCCUCUGAGUUAGAAGGCGUAAACACCGAGCGCAAAACGCGCCAAACGGCGCAGCUGUGCUCGUUUGCGUCCCGUCUGUCCCUCCUGUGACCAAGCUUCCGAGGCGGAUCUCGGCCGUUCUUAAGUGUUGCGAGAGAAAACACACGGCCCCUGGCGAUGAACGACGAGAACCUUCCCCUGCUUUUACCAACACAAGUGAUGCAUGCCUGGAAGCUUGGCGAUCUCCCCUCAACGCUCCGUGGCAGAGAUCCCCCACGAGAGAAGACCUUGUGUGCGACAGAAACCUGAACAGCGUCGGCCUGCGGCACACGCAUUCGCCUGUUUUACGUGGAAGAGAGUUUCAGCGGACACCUCGCAUGCAUCUGCAGGACGCAAUGCUUCAUUCGAUGCUUCAUGCUCAAUCUUAGCCUGCAGGUUACUACUGUGACUCCAUGUCGGCCUCAAAAGGCAAAGUUUAGCCGGGAAGUUUAAGUCUUAACUUUGGAGCUGAGGAUCUUGCGAAGUGCACAGAUGGACCGUAAGUGUAUGCAAAAAUGCCAAUAGGUGAGGUGCUCCGAGGAGACAGCUGCAAGCAC